CUAAGAUUGCUGGAGAAGUUUCUCUGAUAGCUGUUUUCAGCCAUCGUUAUGGUGAGGAAGAGGAGAACUGAGCUUCCUGCAAGUGGUGGGGGUGAGAGCUCCCAGUCUCAUGAAGCUGUUGGGGGUAGUGGUCGUGGUUCCCAGCGACCAUCUGAGAGGGGUGCUCCACCUCAGCAGGGAGCAGGUGGAGGAGCAUACCAAGGUGGUAGGGGUUGGGGGCCCCAGUCUCAGCAAGGAGGUCGUGGUGCUGGCCGAGGCCGUGGUGGGAUUCCUCAACAGCAGCAGUAUGGUGCCCCCCCUGAAUACCAAGGGAGGGGAAGAGGAGGGCCGCCUCAGCAAGGAGGUCGAGGAGGCUAUAGUGGUGGUCGCGGCAGUAGUGGCCGUGGAGGAGGUUCUCCUUCUGGUGGCCCAGCCAGACCACCAGUUCCCGAGCUGCACCAAGCAACCCCGGCUCCUUAUCAUGCUGGGGUGUCCCCUAAGCCCAUGUCAUCUGAGGGGAGCUCUUCGUUCCGACCUCCAGAGCCAUCACCAAUAGUACUGUCUCAGCAGAUACAGGACCUUUCCAUCCAGCAAGAGGGUUCUUCAAGUCAGGCAAUUCAGGCUUUGCCUCCACCCUCAAGUAAAUCAAUGAGGUUCCCCCUUAGGCCUGGGAAGGGUAGCACUGGCAUAAGGUGUAUAGUAAAGGCAAACCACUUCUUUGCUGAAUUACCGGAUAAAGAUUUGCACCAGUAUGAUGUUACCAUCACACCUGAGGUCUCAUCAAGAGGUGUGAACCGUGCUGUAAUGGAACAACUCGUUAAACUGUACAAAGAAUCUCACCUUGGAAAGCGUCUUCCUGCCUAUGAUGGCCGAAAGAGUCUGUACACUGCUGGGCCACUUCCAUUUAUAUCAAAGGAAUUUAAAAUCAUUCUCAUUGAUGAAGAUGACGGAUCAGGCGGGCCAAGGAGGGAGAGGGAGUUUAGAGUUGUAAUCAAAUUAGCUGCACGGGCUGACCUACACCAUUUAGGACUCUUUUUGCAGGGAAGGCAAGCAGAUGCACCACAAGAAGCCCUUCAAGUUCUUGACAUUGUUUUGCGUGAAUUGCCUACUACUCGGUACUGCCCGGUGGGUCGAUCAUUUUAUUCCCCUGAUUUAGGAAGAAGGCAACCCCUUGGUGAGGGUUUGGAAAGUUGGCGUGGUUUUUACCAAAGCAUUCGCCCUACACAAAUGGGACUGUCGCUUAAUAUUGAUAUGUCUUCUACUGCUUUCAUUGAGCCACUACCAGUAAUUGACUUUGUAACCCAACUAUUGAAUCGGGAUGUUUCCUCUAGACCAUUGUCUGACGCUGAUCGGGUCAAGAUAAAAAAAGCACUUAGAGGAGUCAAGGUUGAAGUUACACACCGUGGAAAUAUGCGCAGAAAGUACCGUAUAUCUGGUUUAACAUCACAGGCAACACGGGAGUUGACUUUUCCGGUUGAUGAAAGAGGAACCUUGAAGUCUGUUGUUGAGUAUUUUUAUGAGACAUAUGGAUUUGUAAUUCAACACACUCAAUGGCCCUGUUUACAAGUGGGAAAUCAGCAGAGGCCUAAUUAUUUGCCUAUGGAAGUUUGCAAGAUUGUUGAGGGUCAGAGGUACUCCAAGAGACUGAAUGAGAGGCAGAUCACUGCUUUGCUGAAGGUGACCUGUCAGCGUCCUCAUGAAAGGGAGCUUGAUAUUAUGCAGACUGUUCAUCAUAAUGCUUACCACAAUGAUCCUUAUGCAAAGGAGUUUGGAAUUAAAAUUAGUGAGAAGCUUGCUUCAGUAGAAGCUCGUAUUUUGCCACCCCCAUGGCUUAAAUAUCAUGAAACUGGUAGAGAGAGGGAUUGCCUGCCUCAAGUUGGACAAUGGAACAUGAUGAACAAGAAAAUGGUUAAUGGGGGAACAGUGAACAAUUGGAUAUGCAUAAAUUUUUCUCGGAAUGUUCAAGACAGUGUAGCCCGUGGAUUUUGCCAUGAACUUGCACAAAUGUGUUACAUAUCAGGCAUGGCUUUUAAUCCUGAGCCAGUACUUCCUCCAAUUAGCGGUCGUCCAGAGCAGGUAGAGAAGGUCUUGAAAACUCGUUACCAUGAUGCCAUGACAAAACUUCAGCCCCAGGGCAGGGAACUUGACCUGCUUAUUGUAAUUCUCCCUGAUAAUAAUGGUUCCCUUUAUGGUGAUUUGAAACGGAUUUGUGAAACAGAUCUUGGCCUUGUUUCUCAGUGUUGUUUAACAAAGCAUGUAUUCAAAAUGAGUAAGCAAUAUUUGGCCAAUGUGGCUUUGAAGAUAAAUGUGAAGGUUGGAGGAAGAAAUACUGUACUUGUUGAUGCAUUAUCAAGGCGCAUUCCUUUAGUCAGCGACCGGCCCACUAUUAUUUUUGGUGCUGAUGUUACCCAUCCUCAUCCUGGGGAAGACUCGAGCCCAUCUAUUGCAGCUGUUGUGGCUUCUCAAGAUUGGCCAGAGAUUACAAAGUAUGCUGGUUUGGUUUGUGCUCAAGCCCAUCGACAAGAGCUUAUCCAAGAUUUGUUCAAAGAAUGGCAGGAUCCUGUAAGAGGGAAAGUCUCUGGUGGAAUGAUCAAGGAACUCCUUAUUUCCUUCCGCAGAGCAACUGGACAGAAGCCACAACGUAUCAUAUUUUACAGAGAUGGUGUCAGUGAAGGGCAAUUCUAUCAAGUUUUGCUGUAUGAACUUGAUGCUAUUCGAAAGGCAUGUAAUUCCUUAGAACCAAAUUAUCAGCCUCCUGUAACUUUUGUUGUGGUUCAGAAGCGUCACCACACCAGGUUGUUUGCCAACGACCAUAGUGACCGUAAUGCUGUUGACAGGAGUGGGAAUAUACUGCCUGGUACUGUGGUGGACUCUAAAAUCUGUCAUCCAACAGAGUUCGACUUUUAUUUGUGUAGCCAUGCUGGGAUUCAGGGUACGAGCCGUCCUGCUCAUUACCAUGUACUAUGGGAUGAGAACAAGUUUUCUGCUGAUGGGUUGCAGUCCCUUACGAACAAUCUUUGCUACACAUAUGCGAGAUGCACACGUUCCGUUUCCAUUGUGCCACCUGCAUAUUAUGCUCAUCUUGCUGCAUUUCGAGCUCGGUUCUAUAUGGAACCAGAGACAUCAGACAGUGGAUCAAUGACUAGUGGUCCUGUAUCUGGACGUGGAGCCAUGGGUGGAGGUACAGGUGCACGGAGCACACGAGGAGCUGCUAGUGCUGCUGUGCGACCCUUACCUGCCUUGAAGGAGAAUGUCAAGCGGGUAAUGUUUUAUUGCUAGGUUAUUCUGAUGACCCAGUAGCUUAUCAUUUGGAUUGUUACUGAGGUUGUAGGUGGAGUACUUGUUGAAACUGUUUUGACUUGAAUUU
rnacentral:misc_RNA from 1 species